UGACAUGUUAGACAGGCACAAAGAUCCCUAUUAUAUGUAAGUAACAAUGUGGCC
rnacentral:miRNA from 1 species